rnacentral:lncRNA from 1 species
UCGAUGAGAGUCCUUUUCUAGCCAUACACAUAUGAAGGGCUUGCCCUCUUCCAUGGGCACGGUGGCCUGAACACCAGGAUAUUUGUGGGCCCACAGGGUCCCAUGACCUCUCCAGGCCAUCCCUGUCUCCUGGGCUGGAAGAUGUGAGCUAGCCCUUCCCCAUGUCGGCUGGGGCUGCGCUGACGGGAAGGGCUGGGGGGCUGACCAGCGUUGCUCUGCCCACUUCUCUCUUCAGCGUGGGCUGGACUGUGCCACCAUGGUGCUACUGGUGACACAAGGACAGGCAGCUCAGUGUUGGGGGAGCGUCCCACGCAUGACACUGAAGGUGUGGUCUCUUGGGGAGGUGCACAGAAGCACUAUCCAGAGGUUGAAUCUCAGAAACACCAAUUCACGAUCAGACACAGAGGCCAGUCCAAGUGCGCUUCUCGUCCGAUGCGUGCACCUGGUUCCCGUUCCAGCCGUCACACCCCAUUAGCCAAGGAGAGGAAUGAGAGUAAUAAUAAUUAAAUAGUAAUGAUGGGAAACAGUGCACAGUUAGGACAGGUGCUUGCACUACCCCAGGCACAGGCUCCAACAUCGCGCCCUUAGCCACUGUGAGUUAUGGCAGGUGGUGCUGGGUCUCCUUUUACUUGGGCCUGUGGACAGAGCAGGGGGCUCAGGUGACACUUCCCACCCACCGGCCAUCUCUCUCUGCGGGCGACAUGCAGGGCCCUGAGCCGGGACUCUCCUGGGGCGCCCAGGACAGCUUUCCUUUUACGUAGGCAUCCCCUGUUCUUGCUGGGCAUCCAAGCCAGUCUUGCCAGCACACACGGAGAGGAAAUGAUGGCACUUUUAGAGAUGCAACACUUUUGUUUUGGAGUCACCUAUUGAGCCAAGACACGGGGACCUGGGCAACACGUGGUUUUGUGGAUUGGUGCUAGGAAGGGGUGGCCUGGGAAAGCUAAGGAUGGAGGAGAGGAAAAGGGAAGCUGCAGGCUGCUGUGAGGGGUACCCCUGGUCAAAUGGCACUUUGGGGAUGAGGAGACUUGGGAUCCACUUGUAACCCCAGCCGCACACUGCGGGGGAUCUCUGGGGACACUUCUGUCACUUCUGUUUUAUUGCACUAAGAGCCUAGAAGUUUGAUCUAAGAAUGGCAGAGUCAGCAGCCGGCACUGUGGAGCCCUGAUUUGUGGUAAAAAUACUGAAAUAUGGAAAUCCUCCCACACGAGUUUGUAGUAGCACUGCAUGAGCCCCUCUCUUGGGCAUCCCCGCCCACCAAUAUCACCUCAUCAUCUGGCACCAGGGGAGCCAAAUACCUGACAUGGGGGAGCUUGGAGGGGGCUGUUCCAGCCCAAUGUGGGCAGCCCCAGCAGGUUGUGCCCCGAAGCUGUUAGUGCUCUGAGCAUCACCUCUGCUCUGAUGAGGUGGGGCACUGUCGGGUGUGCUGGGCUGGUCCUGGGCUGAGGUUGUGCAGUGUCAGGCAUCCUGGCACUGCCUCUCCACCCAGGGCUGGGCCUGCUUCUGGAACCCCCAUGGGUUCUCUGGGGCUUUGGUGCUCACCACCCUGGUCUAGAAAUGGAAUGCCGGCACGGGUAGGCCUAUGGCAAGGAUUAGAUGAAAUUAGCACAAAGCGGGAUCUUCCAAAUCCUCCUCCUGGUCUUAAGGGGGCAGUGCAGCCAGCCAGGCCCAGGAAGCCCAGGCCGCGUGUCUCCCCAGCAUUCUCCAGCUCUCAGCAGCACCUGCACUGCAGCUGGGCUCCCUGCACCUGGAGCCCCGGGUGUUACCCCCGACCACCACGGUGUGGUGCUGGCGCUGGGUGACUCACACUCUGCCAGCUGUGCCCCGAGCAAAGCCUCCGCGAUAGUGGCCUCCCAGGGCCAGUCCAGUUCAAGUUCAGCAGGGGGCAAGGCCUGAACUCUGCGUUCCUGAGCAGCUCCGGGGGAAGCCCAGGUGCUGGCCACGUGGCAGUUCCGCUGCGCUCUGUUCUCAGACGCGGAGGCCGACCUAAGAGUUUCCGCUGCUUGGGAACCUGUGGCCACAUCGCCUGGUCUGGGUUUCACAGG